UAUCAGUUAUCAGAGUGAAGAUGCCUCUCAAGGGGCAGGCUGGUCUUCAGAGGGGCUCCUGGACUCUGGGGAACCUUCCCUUUUUUUGUAACCAGCAGUCAGUGGGGAGGAUGACCUGAGUUCUAUUUGUCUUCAUAAAGAGAGAACAUAAAAUUUUUAAAAAAGGCACACCAUUCAGGGGGAAAAAAAAAAAAUGGUGCCGCCAUCCGUGAGUCAAGAGCCUUGAUGAGAAUCUUCCCCUGGUCCCUUCUGAAAAUAAAUACAGAAAAUAGCCUCUAAUGAAAAGGUUUGGUCAAUGUCAAAAGGAAAAAAAAAAAAGAAGAA